UAUGACUCCUGCAAAACUCUCUGGAUGUUGCAGGAUAUAACUUACUGUAAAGCAGCACAUCACAGCAAGAGAAUUACGCAGACAUCAAGCAAAAGGAGUGUGAGUUAAACGGGUUUCUGACAUACUGUAUGCUGUAGACCAGACAACAGACAUCAAGAAAGAAAAGCAGGCAACAACGUUGUCAAACCAGCCUCAACAGAUGUCUUUUAUGCAAGAUCUUUUUUUAAAAUUUUUUAACUUUUUGUUGAACAUGGAUGCAUUUUCCAAAUCUAUUCUUUUCAGCCUUUUUUUAUGUGUCGUGGAGAAGAUCAUUGGCUUCACUUUUACAUGCCCGUGCAAACAUUUUUUGAAUCAACAAAUAAUAACGUCCAUCUUCUUCGGACCUUUUCUUUCAUCAUUUGUUGUGAUGUUCAUCCGGUUAAGACCGUUUAGAUACCCGUACUUUGAAGUGGAAGAUCGUCGUUCAGCAACACCAACUGAUGCGGAGGAGUCUCAGCGUUCAAAUGAGGCCAAAGCUCCACGCAAUUGUCCUGAGGCUUUUGCGUAUUGUCUGAUUCCCCCAUUUUUUUGGAUCACAUUCUUGUUACUUGAUGGCGAUUAUGUGGCAUGUGCCUCGACCACAUGGGAUGGAAAGUAUGUUAAGGAUCAAGAUCUAGACAGAAUGUGGUGUCAACCCAUGGAUCGGUACAUGAAUGACAGUGAACAUAGACAUGCCUUUCAGGGCUAUAUUUCGACAUCGCAGAGUGCAGGUUAUGUACUGCUCGGUGUCUUCAGUGUUGUAAUCGCUGUAUUAGUGGGAAUUUAUGACUGUUUCAAAAGUGGAAAAGCUAAAUUCUGCAGAGGAAAACAUCAAGACACACAGCAGGGACAGCAAGAGGCACGUGGUGGUGAAUGUGAGCUUGAACCACUUGUUGCUUGAUGCGCUGUAUGAAAUAUAAAUCUGUAUUUUGCUUUUGCUAAAGGGUUAAUGAACACCUCAGAAGUUCAUUAGAAAGUUUCAUGAGUAUUUAAAGACACCAGGGGUCAGCUAUUUCAGUUAUACAAAAUCAAGUCCUCGGCUUGAAAGGGGAAGGUCUUUAGUGUAAUCAUUUUAACGGGUCACUAAAGCAACAUUUUUAUAUUGUUUUACAAACAUAUGACUUGUUUGCUUUAGUUACUGCGUUUUCUUUGUUUCAAUGCUGAUUUGAGGUUAGAUUCUGUUAAUCCUCUUUUGUGCUGUAACCUUUAUUCUUUUCAGAAGUCUUGAUUUGUAGUUAUUUUAUUUGAUAUACUAUGUAAA